GAUGAACGCUGGCGGCGUGCCUAAUACAUGCAAGUCGAGCGAACAGACGAGGAGCUUGCUCCUCUGACGUUAGCGGCGGACGGGUGAGUAACACGUGGAUAACCUACCUAUAAGACUGGGAUAACUUCGGGAAACCGGAGCUAAUACCGGAUAAUAUAUUGAACCGCAUGGUUCAAUAGUGAAAGACGGUUUUGCUGUCACUUAUAGAUGGAUCCGCGCCGCAUUAGCUAGUUGGUAAGGUAACGGCUUACCAAGGCAACGAUGCGUAGCCGACCUGAGAGGGUGAUCGGCCACACUGGAACUGAGACGCGGUCCAGACUCCUACGGGAGGCAGCAGUAGGGAAUCUUCCGCAAUGGGCGAAAGCCUGACGGAGCAACGCCGCGUGAGUGAUGAAGGUCUUCGGAUCGUAAAACUCUGUUAUGAGGGAAGAACAAAUGUGUAAGUAACUAUGCACGUCUUGACGGUACCUAAUCAGAAAGCCACGGCUAACUACGUG
rnacentral:rRNA from 1 species